GACGAACGCUGGCGGCGUGCCUAACACAUGCAAGUUGAGCGACGAACCAGGGCUUGCCCUGGGGCAAAGCAGCGAACGGGUGAGUAACACGUGGGUAACGUGCCCCGAUAACCGGGACAACCCGAGGAAACUCGGGCUAAUACCGGAUGUGCUCGCCGGACAUCAGUCCGGCGCGUAAAGGAAGCUUCGGCCUCCGUAUCGGGAGCGGCCCGCGGCCCAUUAGCUAGUUGGUGAGGUAACGGCUCACCAAGGCCGCGAUGGGUAGCUGGUCUGAGAGGACGAUCAGCCACACUGGGACUGAGACACGGCCCAGACUCCUACGGGAGGCAGCAGUGGGGAAUCUUGCGCAAUGCGCGAAAGCGUGACGCAGCAACGCCGCGUGGGGGAAGAAGGCCU
rnacentral:rRNA from 1 species